UACGAAGGGGGCUAGCGUUGCUCGGAAUCACUGGGCGUAAAGCGCACGUAGGCGGCUUUUUAAGUCAGGGGUGAAAUCCUGGAGCUCAACUCCAGAACUGCCUUUGAUACUGGGAAGCUUGAGUCCGGAAGAGGUGAGUGGAACUCCGAGUGUAGAGGUGAAAUUCGUAGAUAUUCGGAAGAACACCGGUGGCGAAGGCGGCCUGCUGGGCAGUAGCUGACGCUGAAGCGCGACAGCGUGGGGAGCAAACAGG
rnacentral:rRNA from 1 species